UACGGGGGGAGCAAGCGUUGUUCGGAUUUACUGGGCGUAAAGGGCGCGUAGGCGGCCACCGCAAGUCGAUUGAGAAAUCUCCGGGCUUAACCCGGAAAGGUCAACCGAUACUGCGGGGCUAGAGUGCGGAAGGGGCAACUGGAAUUCUUGGUGUAGCGGUGAAAUGCGUAGAUAUCAAGAGGAACACCUGCGGCGAAGGCGGGUUGCUGGGCCGACACUGACGCUGAUGCGCGAAAGCUAGGGGAGCGAACGGG
rnacentral:rRNA from 1 species